GACGUAGGGCGCGAGCGUUGUCCGGAUUUAUUGGGCGUAAAGAGCUCGUAGGCGGCUUGUCGCGUCGUCCGUGAAAACCCUGGGCUCAACUCCGGGCUUGCGGGCGAUACGGGCAGGCUAGAGUUCGGCAGGGGAGACUGGAAUUCCUGGUGUAGCGGUGAAAUGCGCAGAUAUCAGGAGGAACACCGAUGGCGAAGGCAGCUCACUGGGACGGUACUGACGCUGAGACGCGAAAGCGUGGGGAGCAAACAGG
rnacentral:rRNA from 1 species